rnacentral:rRNA from 1 species
GGUUAAGCGACUAAGCGUACACGGUGGAUGCCCUGGCAGUCAGAGGCGAUGAAGGACGUGCUAAUCUGCGAUAAGCGCCGGUAAGGUGAUAUGAACCGUUAUAACCGGCGAUUUCCGAAUGGGGAAACCCAGUGUGACUCGUCACACUAUCAUUAACUGAAUCCAUAGGUUAAUGAGGCGAACCGGGGGAACUGAAACAUCUAAGUACCCCGAGGAAAAGAAAUCAACCGAGAUUCCCCCAGUAGCGGCGAGCGAACGGGGAGGAGCCCAGAGCCUGAAUCAGCAUGUGUGUUAGUGGAAGCGUCUGGAAAGGCGCGCGAUACAGGGUGACAGCCCCGUACACAAAAGCGCAUGUGCUGUGAGCUCGAUGAGUAGGGCGGGACACGUGGUAUCCUGUCUGAAUAUGGGGGGACCAUCCUCCAAGGCUAAAUACUCCUGACUGACCGAUAGUGAACCAGUACCGUGAGGGAAAGGCGAAAAGAACCCCGGCGAGGGGAGUGAAAAAGAACCUGAAACCGUGUACGUACAAGCAGUGGGAGCACAGGUUUACCUGUGUGACUGCGUACCUUUUGUAUAAUGGGUCAGCGACUUAUAUUCUGUAGCAAGGUUAACCGAAUAGGGGAGCCGGAGGGAAACCGAGUCUUAACCGGGCGUUAAGUUGCAGGGUAUAGACCCGAAACCCGGUGAUCUAGCCAUGGGCAGGUUGAAGGUUGGGUAACACUAACUGGAGGACCGAACCGACUAAUGUUGAAAAAUUAGCGGAUGACCUGUGGCUGGGGGUGAAAGGCCAAUCAAACCGGGAGAUAGCUGGUUCUCCCCGAAAGCUAUUUAGGUAGCGCCUCGUGAAUUCAUCUCCGGGGGUAGAGCACUGUUUCGGCUAGGGGGCCAUCCCGGCUUACCAACCCGAUGCAAACUGCGAAUACCGGAGAAUGUUAUCACGGGAGACACACGGCGGGUGCUAACGUCCGUCGUGAAGAGGGAAACAACCCAGACCGCCAGCUAAGGUCCCAAAGUCAUGGUUAAGUGGGAAACGAUGUGGGAAGGCCCAGACAGCCAGGAUGUUGGCUUAGAAGCAGCCAUCAUUUAAAGAAAGCGUAAUAGCUCACUGGUCGAGUCGGCCUGCGCGGAAGAUGUAACGGGGCUAAACCAUGCACCGAAGCUGCGGCAGCGAACGUAUCACUUAAAGCGAUUCAGCGGGUUACGAUUGACGGAGCGAAGCGACGUCAAAGCGUAUACAAAGUCGAGUCGGUUUAAGGAUACGUUCGUUGGGUAGGGGAGCGUUCUGUAAGCCUGCGAAGGUGGCCUGUGAGGGUUGCUGGAGGUAUCAGAAGUGCGAAUGCUGACAUAAGUAACGAUAAAGCGGGUGAAAAGCCCGCUCGCCGGAAGACCAAGGGUUCCUGUCCAACGUUAAUCGGGGCAGGGUGAGUCGACCCCUAAGGCGAGGCCGAAAGGCGUAGUCGAUGGGAAACGGGUUAAUAUUCCCGUACUUGGUGUUACUGCGAAGGGGGGACGGAGAAGGCUAUGUUGGCCGGGCGACGGUUGUCCCGGUUUAAGCGUGUAGGUGUGUGUUCCAGGUAAAUCCGGUUCACUUUAACACUGAGGCGUGAUGACGAGGCACUACGGUGCUGAAGCAACAAAUGCCCUGCUUCCAGGAAAAGCCUCUAAGCAUCAGGUAACAUCAAAUCGUACCCCAAACCGACACAGGUGGUCAGGUAGAGAAUACCAAGGCGCUUGAGAGAACUCGGGUGAAGGAACUAGGCAAAAUGGUGCCGUAACUUCGGGAGAAGGCACGCUGACACGUAGGUGAAGUGAUUUACUCACGGAGCUGAAGUCAGUCGAAGAUACCAGCUGGCUGCAACUGUUUAUUAAAAACACAGCACUGUGCAAACACGAAAGUGGACGUAUACGGUGUGACGCCUGCCCGGUGCCGGAAGGUUAAUUGAUGGGGUCAGCGCAAGCGAAGCUCCUGAUCGAAGCCCCGGUAAACGGCGGCCGUAACUAUAACGGUCCUAAGGUAGCGAAAUUCCUUGUCGGGUAAGUUCCGACCUGCACGAAUGGCGUAAUGAUGGCCAGGCUGUCUCCACCCGAGACUCAGUGAAAUUGAACUCGCUGUGAAGAUGCAGUGUACCCGCGGCAAGACGGAAAGACCCCGUGAACCUUUACUAUAGCUUGACACUGAACAUUGAGCCUUGAUGUGUAGGAUAGGUGGGAGGCUUUGAAGUGUGGACGCCAGUCUGCAUGGAGCCGACCUUGAAAUACCACCCUUUAAUGUUUGAUGUUCUAACGUGGACCCGUAAUCCGGGUUGCGGACAGUGUCUGGUGGGUAGUUUGACUGGGGCGGUCUCCUCCUAAAGAGUAACGGAGGAGCACGAAGGUUGGCUAAUCCUGGUCGGACAUCAGGAGGUUAGUGCAAUGGCAUAAGCCAGCUUGACUGCGAGCGUGACGGCGCGAGCAGGUGCGAAAGCAGGUCAUAGUGAUCCGGUGGUUCUGAAUGGAAGGGCCAUCGCUCAACGGAUAAAAGGUACUCCGGGGAUAACAGGCUGAUACCGCCCAAGAGUUCAUAUCGACGGCGGUGUUUGGCACCUCGAUGUCGGCUCAUCACAUCCUGGGGCUGAAGUAGGUCCCAAGGGUAUGGCUGUUCGCCAUUUAAAGUGGUACGCGAGCUGGGUUUAGAACGUCGUGAGACAGUUCGGUCCCUAUCUGCCGUGGGCGCUGGAGAACUGAGGGGGGCUGCUCCUAGUACGAGAGGACCGGAGUGGACGCAUCACUGGUGUUCGGGUUGUCAUGCCAAUGGCACUGCCCGGUAGCUAAAUGCGGAAGAGAUAAGUGCUGAAAGCAUCUAAGCACGAAACUUGCCCCGAGAUGAGUUCUCCCUGAGACUUUAGGUCUCCUGAAGGAACGUUGAAGACGACGACGUUGAUAGGCCGGGUGUGUAAGCGCAGCGAUGCGUUGAGCUAACCGGUACUAAUGAACCGUGAGGCUUAACCUU